UAUUCGCUAACAUUGAUUAAGAACCCUGCAGGUACUGUGUUAACCACCUUACAUGGCCUAACCCGGUUAUUUCCACAUGGCACUCGGAGGUUAGAAUUGUCGUGGUUUUUAUCUGACAGAGACGGGACCUGUGACAUGGAGCGGUCGGUGACCUGCCUGUGAGAACACAGCUUUUAUGGUGAAUCCACGUUCAGGGGCUCCGAGGAGGCAUCACUAGCAAGAACUCAGUGGAGACUCAGUCAAUACGCUGAGCCACGCGUUCUGGAACACUUAGGAGUAGCAGAUCUUCCCGCUCAACUUGCCAAGCAUCCGUGCUGACAAGAGAGAACCAGAAAUUCCACCUUGUUGACAGAACCCCACUGGUGGUGUGGGCACUUGGCGGCAGCAGCAGUGAGCAGAGCGUAAGGGGACAGAUCUCAGUGGAUCACAGACUAAGAUUCGCCUUUGUCCUGUGACCUCUGCUGGUGACCCGGGGGCUUGAAGUCCCUUCCCUUCUACACCAGGCACGGAU
ensembl:lncRNA